UACGUAGGGUCCAAGCGUUGUCCGGAUUUAUUGGGCGUAAAGAGCUCGUAGGCGGCUCAGUAAGUCGGAUGUGAAAACUCGGGGCUCAACCCCGAGACGCCAUCCGAUACUGCUGUGGCUUGAGUCUGGUAGGGGAGCACGGAAUUCCUGGUGUAGCGGUGAAAUGCGCAGAUAUCAGGAGGAACACCGGUGGCGAAGGCGGCUCGUCUGGGACG
rnacentral:rRNA from 1 species